CGGCACUCUUGAGCGCAGUUUCGAAAGCAAAGCAGCUCUGUCCAGUUCAAAACAAACCCCAAAGUCAGGCGAAUCUCACCCAGAAGUAACUACGGCAACAUUUUUAACUGGCACAUGUCUAUGGCAGCCUUGUUUCCCUGACAUGUUUACAUUCAGCACUGCUAAAUGUAUUCUCCUGCUGUUUUAAGAGACCACAUGAUUUGGGCAAACGGUUUCCCCCUGAAAAGAAGG